rnacentral:rRNA from 1 species
UACGGAGGGUGCAAGCGUUAUCCGGAUUUACUGGGUUUAAAGGGUGCGUAGGCGGGCCCUUAAGUCAGUGGUGAAAGCUCCGAGCUUAACUCGGAAACUGCCAUUGAUACUAUAGGUCUUGAAUUCGGUCGAGGUUGGCGGAAUGUGUCGUGUAGCGGUGAAAUGCUUAGAGAUCGGGAGGAACACCAGUGGCGAAGGCGGCCUUCUGGACCAAUACUGACGCUCAUGCACGAAAGCGUGGGGAGCAAACAGG